UGUUAAGACCCAAUAUAACAAACUAAGUGAC
rnacentral:piRNA from 1 species